GAUAAACGCUGGCGGCGUGCCUAAUACAUGCAAGUCGAACGCUUAAUAUCCAGCUUGCUGGAUAGAGAGAGUGGCGAACGGGUGAGUAAUACAUAAGCAACCUGCCUACAAGGACUGGGAUAACUUCUGGAAACGGAUGCUAAUACCGGAUAGGUAAUAGGAAGACAUCUUCUUAUUAUUAAAGGUUAAAAACACAAGUAGAUGGGCUUAUGGCGCAUUAGUUAGUUGGUGAGGUAACGGCCCACCAAGACGAUGAUGCGUAGCCGGCCUGAGAGGGUGAACGGCCACAUUGGGACUGAGACACGGCCCAAACUCCUACGGGAGGCAGCAGUAGGGAAUUUUCGGCAAUGGGCGCAAGCCUGACCGAGCAACGCCGCGUGAGUGAUGAAGGUUUUCGGAUUGUAAAGCUCUGUUGUAAGGGAAGAACGUCUUGGAGAGAAUCCAGGAGUGACGGUACCUUACCAGAAAGCCACGGCUAACUACGUG
rnacentral:rRNA from 1 species